CCUACGGGUGGCAGCAGUCGAGAAUCAUUCACAAUGGGGGAAACCCUGAUGGUGCGACGCCGCGUGGGGGAAUGAAGGUCUUCGGAUUGUAAACCCCUGUCAUGUGGGAGCAAAUUAAAAAGAUAGUACCACAAGAGGAAGAGACGGCUAACUAUGUGCCAGCAGCCGCGGUAAUACAGAGGUCUCAAGCGUUGUUCGGAAUCACUGGGCGUAAAGGGUGCGUAGGCUGUUUCGUAAGUCGUGUGUGAAAGGCGCGGGCUCAACCCGCGGACGGCACAUGAUACUGCGCGGCUAGAGUAAUGGAGGGGGAACCGGAAUGCUCGGUGUAGCAGUGAAAUGCGUAGAGAUCGAGAAGAACACUGGUGGCGAAGGCAGGUUCCUGGACAUUAACUGACGCUGAGGCACGAAGGCCAGGGGAGCGAAAGGGAUUAGAUACCCCUGUAGUC
rnacentral:rRNA from 1 species